AGUGAACGCUGGCGGUAGGCCUAACACAUGCAAGUCGAACGGCAGCACAGUAAGAGCUUGCUCUUACGGGUGGCGAGUGGCGGACGGGUGAGGAAUACAUCGGAAUCUACUUUUUCGUGGGGGAUAACGUAGGGAAACUUACGCUAAUACCGCAUACGUCCUACGGGUGAAAGCAGGUGAUCUUCGGACCUUGCGCGAUUGAAUGAGCCGAUGUCGGAUUAGCUAGUUGGCGGGGUAAAGGCCCACCAAGGCGACGAUCCGUAGCUGGUCUGAGAGGAUGAUCAGCCACACUGGAACUGAGACACGGUCCAGACUCCUACGGGAGGCAGCAGUGGGGAAUAUUGGACAAUGGGCGCAAGCCUGAUCCAGCCAUACCGCGUGGGUGAAGAAGGCCUUCGGGUUGUAAAGCUCUUUUGUUGGGAAAGAAAAGCAGCAGGUUAAUACCCCGCUGUUCUGACGGUACCCAAAGAAUAAGCACCGGCUAACUUCGUG
rnacentral:rRNA from 1 species